AGCCAACCUAGGAAGACUGGAUGUCCACAAUUCUUUUACAUUUUAUGAGCACUUCAGCGGACAAAAUCUCUACCCUACUGAGCGAGACGUGUACCUUUUGCUGACAGCUCCAAUCAUUCCAUUUAUCAAGAAGACCGCUUGCACCAAUAGCUCGAUGUGUCCAUCAUGUACUAUAAUACAGGGCUAUGAAGCUAAUAGUUUUCUAAAAUCAACUUUGGAAGGAAUCACCUCUCUACUGAUCACUAUUGAAGGCUGCAGUGUAUAAAGGAGAGCAACUGUAAAGAUGGGUGUCUAAGACAGGGAGAAGAUGCAAUUCGUUGGUAUUAUGUCAGGCUUCAGGAUCUCCAUUGCAACUACCCGUCACCAAGUAGAUGUCCAAGACCAGCCUCUGAUGCAGGGGCUUCACUCUCCAGUAAAAGUAUUUCCAACAACCAACCAAGUAAGGAGGGAAUCACCCCUACUGACAUCUUGAAGGCUGCCGGGUAUAAAGGAAAGCAACACGUAUGAAACAUCAGUAUCAUCAAGACAUCCUAGCUGUUCAUCUG